GAUUUAAGCAAUUUUGAGUGUGGUAUGGACUGAUUCAACCUGACAGAAGAGCAACUGUGACUGAAAUAACCACUCGUUACAACCGAGGUAUGCCGCAAAGCAUUUGUGAAGCCACAACACGCACAACCUCGAGGUGGAUGGGCUACAACAGCAGUAGACCCCACCGGGUACUACUUAUCUCCACUACAAAUAGGAAAAAGAGGCUACAAUUUGCACAAGCUCACCAAAAUUGUUGAAAAAUGUUGCCUGGUCUGAUGAGUCUCUGUUGAGACAUUCAGAUGGUAGAGUCAGAAUUUGGCGUAAACAGAAUGAGAACAUGGAUUCAUCAUGCCUUGUUACCACUGUGCAGGCUGGUCGUGUAAUGGUGUGGGGGAUGUUUCCUUGGCACCUUAGUGCCAAUUGGGCAUCAUUCAAAUGCCACAUCCUAUCUGAGCAUUGUUUCUGACCAUGACCAUCCCUUUAUGACCACCAUGUACUCAUCCUCUGAUGGCUACUUCCAGCAGGAUAAUGCACCAUGUCACAAAGCUUAAAUCAUUUCAAAUUGGUUUCUUGAACAUGACAAUGAGUUCACUGUACUAAAAUGGCCCCCACAGUAACCAGAUCUCAACCCAAUAUAGCAUCUUUGGGAUGUGGUGGAACGGGAGCUUCGUGCCCUGGAUAUGCAUCCCACAAAUCUCCAUCAACUGCAAGAUGCUAUCCUAUCAAUAUAGGACAACAUUUCUAAAGAAUGCUUUCAGCACCUUGUUGAAUCAAUGCCACAUAGUAUUAAGGCAGUUCUGAAGGCAAAAGAGGGUCAAACACAGUAUUACUAUGGUGUUCCUAAUAAUCCUUUAGAUGGAAAAGAGAGAAGACAAACUUCACCGAAAGAUUUAGGAGGAAAAGGCCAAAUUCGUUGUGACUAUAGAUGAGUACAACAGGGCAGCACCUGAAAAACUACUGUCAGCUGAUACAAUUCUGGCAUCUGGGAGUUACGCAUGGCCAUGGGACGGUCGUCACCAAUCCUGGUCAUGGGGGGUCUCUGCAGAUUUUAAAUGAAACCUCUGCUAAUUAGCCAUGACUGCUGCUUCCUACUGUUACAGACCAGGACUGUGGGCUCUCUGACAGUGGAGUUCUAGGACUUCACUUCCUGCUAAAGAAAAGACAAUACUACAUCAUCUCCUCUGUUCGCCAGUUGUACUGUACUGUGCUUGACAACUUUUCUGAGCUGUUUGGGAACAUAAAAGAUGAUGAUUACUUUAGGGAAAUUCACAUGGAUGAGGAGGUUAUCCACUAUUGUGGUGGUGGUGGUGGUGAUGAUGACGAUGAUGAGGAUGAGUAUGAAAAGUCAUUGUUUCCUCAGUCAGUAUAAAGUGUACACUCAAGUCAGAUUUUAAAGACAAGGUCAAGGUUAAACCAGGAUUAUGCCUUAGCUAAAAUUGGACAUUUACACUACUUUUAAAAAUGUGACUUACAAAUAAACUUACUGAUGUGCAUCUUGAGACAAAAUUAUGGCACUGAUAUAUUUAAAGAUAUGUCAGUAAAAGUUUUUUUUUUUGUUAAGACAGCUCAAAUAUACAUUUUAGUUUGGGACUAGGCUUAGGCCUUGUGAUCGAUUGAAGUUGCAAUUCACUAGUGUAGUGGAUGAAAACUUGUUUAGAAUGAUAAAGUUGUCUCCCAAUAGUUAAAUAGUUCAUCUUAUUUCCCCACGUCCCAAGUUACCUUAUGUCAUCUAUGUGAUUAUAUCUGUAUUUUAUCUUGUGUAUAUUACUGAAACUGCCAGUUGACCUUUUUUCCUUUAAUAUUAAGCAUCACAUACGGUAUAUAGACUCCACCACAUAAAUAUAGACUGUCUUUUUUAGUUUCAGUUAAUUAAACAAGACUGUAUGCUGUGAUGUUUAUCUUAGUAAUGUUUUACAUUGUUUACAUUUACAUUACAAAGGUGUUGUGAAAAUAUGUAAUUUUAUAUUGUUUGUCCAAUAAUUUUUAUAUUAGAUAUUGUAAUACGUUGCUGAUAUUAUUAGUGUUAUUAUUACUGAUGUAACAUUUAUGACUUUUUGGACAGUGUUGUAAAAUGCCUUCAUUGUUAUUCAUAAAGUGACAAAUAAAAUUGACCAAAUUCACGUGAAAACAACUUCCUGUUUUUUAUCAUAAAUUGUACUAUUAUGAUAUGUAUAUUUAAUGUUACAAACUUCAUUGCUCUAGAAUAAAAAUCUGUAAUUAAAGUA